rnacentral:rRNA from 1 species
UACGGAGGGGGCUAGCGUUGUUCGGAAUUACUGGGCGUAAAGCGCGCGUAGGCGGACCUGCAAGUCGGGGGUGAAAGCCCGAGGCUCAACCUCGGAACUGCCUUCGAUACUGCGGGUCUCGAGUCCGGGAGAGGUGAGUGGAAUUCCUAGUGUAGAGGUGAAAUUCGUAGAUAUUAGGAAGAACACCAGUGGCGAAGGCGGCUAACUGGUCCAGUACUGACGCUGAGGUGCGAAAGCGUGGGGAGCAAACAGG